rnacentral:rRNA from 1 species
GACGAACGCUGGCGGCGUGCUUAACACAUGCAAGUCGAACGGAAAGGCCCUGCUUUUGUGGGGUGCUCGAGUGGCGAACGGGUGAGUAACACGUGAGUAACCUGCCCUUGACUUUGGGAUAACUUCAGGAAACUGGGGCUAAUACCGGAUAGGAGCUCCUGCUGCAUGGUGGGGGUUGGAAAGUUUCGGCGGUUGGGAAUGGACUCGCGGCUUAUCAGCUUGUUGGUGGGGUAGUGGCUUACCAAGGCUUUGACGGGUAGCCGGCCUGAGAGGGUGACCGGCCACAUUGGGACUGAGAUACGGCCCAGACUCCUACGGGAGGCAGCAGUGGGGAAUAUUGCACAAUGGGCGGAAGCCUGAUGCAGCAACGCCGCGUGCGGGAUGACGGCCUUCGGGUUGUAAACCGCUUUCGCCUGUGACGAAGCGUGAGUGACGGUAAUGGGUAAAGAAGCACCGACUAACUACGUG